UACGGGGGGAGCAAGCGUUGUUCGGAUUUACUGGGCGUAAAGGGCGCGUAGGCGGUCGUGACAAGUCACUUGUGAAAUCUCCGGGCUUAACUCGGAACGGUCAAGUGAUACUGUCGGACUAGAGUACAGAAGGGGCAACUGGAAUUCUCGGUGUAGCGGUGAAAUGCGUAGAUAUCGAGAGGAACACCGGUGGCGAAGGCGACAUCCUGGACCGGUAUUGACGCUGAGGCGCGAAAGCCAGGGGAGCAAACGGG
rnacentral:rRNA from 1 species